rnacentral:tRNA from 1 species
GGGGAUAUAGCUCAAUGGGAGAGCGCCGCGUUCGCAUCGCGGAGGUUGGGGGUUCGAGCCCCCCUAUCUCCACCA